rnacentral:rRNA from 1 species
AUUGAACGCUGGCGGCAGGCCUAACACAUGCAAGUCGAGCGGAUGAAGGGAGCUUGCUCCUGGAUUCAGCGGCGGACGGGUGAGUAAUGCCUAGGAAUCUGCCUGGUAGUGGGGGAUAACGUCCGGAAACGGGCGCUAAUACCGCAUACGUCCUGAGGGAGAAAGUGGGGGAUCUUCGGACCUCACGCUAUCAGAUGAGCCUAGGUCGGAUUAGCUAGUUGGUGGGGUAAAGGCCUACCAAGGCGACGAUCCGUAACUGGUCUGAGAGGAUGUUCAGUCACACUGGAACUGAGACACGGUCCAGACUCCUACGGGGGGCAGCAGUGGGGAAUAUUGGACAAUGGGCGAAAGCCUGAUCCAGCCAUGCCGCGUGUGUGAAGAAGGUCUUCGGAUUGUAAAGCACUUUAAGUUGGGAGGAAGGGCAGUAAGUUAAUACCUUGCUGUUUUGACGUUACCAACAGAAUAAGCACCGGCUAACUUCGUG